rnacentral:rRNA from 1 species
UGGGGAAUCUUGGACAAUGGGGGCAACCCUGAUCCAGCCAUGCCGCGUGAGUGAUGAAGGCCUUAGGGUCGUAAAGCUCUUUCGCCUGUGAAGAUAAUGACGGUAGCAGGUAAAGAAACCCCGGCUAACUCCGUGCCAGCAGCCGCGGUAAUACGGAGGGGGUUAGCGUUGUUCGGAAUUACUGGGCGUAAAGCGCACGUAGGCGGACCAGAAAGUUGGGGGUGAAAUCCCGGGGGCUCAACCCCGGAACUGCCUCCAAAACUAUUGGUCUAGAGUUCGAGAGAGGUGAGUGGAAUCCAAGUGUAGAGGUGAAAUUCGUAGAUAUUGGGAAGAACACCAGUGGCGAAGGCGGCUCACUGGCUCGAUACUGACGCUGAGGUGCGAAAGUGUGGGGAGCAAACAGGAUUAGAUACCCCUGGUAGUCCACACCGUAAAACGAUGAAUGCCAGUCGUCGGGUAGCAUGCUAUUCGGUGACACACCUAACGGAUUAAGCAUUCCGCCUGGGGAGUACGGUCGCAAGAUUAAAA